rnacentral:lncRNA from 1 species
GAAGUUCUAGAUUGAGUUGUUGAGAUGUAAUGCACUUUGACAAACUGAUGAUUUUCAAUUGAAACUUUGGGACUGAGGUAUAAAAGGAAGGUUGCAUUACCAUCUUGUUUUCAUCACCCAAAAGGACUUUGAGGUUUGAAAGGUUUGCAAAUGGUGCGAAUGACAGUGGAAUUUGAAAAUGGUUUCCUGAAAUAUAUAACUCACGAAGAGAUGUCAAGUUACUAAAACAAUGAGGAAGCAUCCCCUCAAGAGCAUUCCAACUCACAUCCAAUACUUCAAGGUUCCUUAGAUCACACCAUCCUGAAAAUUUUAUAAAUUCAUUGAAGAUAUUGUAAUUAAAAAAAGAAAAUGAAAUAUUAGAUAAAUAAAUCUCACAAAGAAUUCGAUUUUCUAGAAGUUAUAUUUGAAAAUUUAUGGAGUCAUAAUUUGUGCCUUAAAUUAGUUUACCUUGAUCAGGUAAGGAACCAAUAAGUUGACAGUGGGGUAAAGACAGAGUUUUAAGAGAACUGAAUACUCCAAUGCCAUGUAAAAUGUUGGUGUUGAGACCAGAAAAGUCAAAAUAUAAUUCCUCCACAUUGCUCGACACAUUUAAUUCUAAAGGAUGAGAAGAGGUAUUCGAUGUUAAUCAAACGUAAUCUGUUUUGGAAAAGAAAAUAAUAACUUUCACUUACCUUGAGUAGUCAGAGUCAUGUUCAGAUAACUCUCUUGUAGAUAAAAGGUUUUAACUGAUGAAAAAACCACCACUAAAUUUUGUAAUGGAAUGCUUCCAUAGGUGAAAACGUGAUCAAGGUAAACAACUUUCAAAUUCUUCAAUCCCUUAUUUUCUGUAAGUGAAAGAAAUAUACUUAUUCAAACAAAAUACACAAAUAUUUGAAAAUUGCGAUACUUGAAUUCCUAAUCAUAGUACAAAUGCCUUAAUUGCCAUCUCCCACUUCAAUUUUCACCAAACCUAUAUUAUUACUAUCUUCAACUUCAAUUUUAUUUUCAAAGGAUUGAAGCUAAACCUCUCAAUUAAAAUAUAAAACAAUUACCAUUAUUAUAAAAUCUGAGAAUUUAAACUAAAUACUGAAUAGAAAAAGUUUAAUUAAAUGAUACCUUUGUGGAUCACAAAAUCUUUCAAUUCAUUAUAGCUCAUAUCUAGUUCCCUUAAAUUAAUAAAUGCAUCCAAAUCUGGAAAAAGAAAAAAUAACAAAUAAACUUCAUUAUAUCGUCUUAACAGAGUCAAAAUUUUAGCAUCAAAAAACUAAUAAUUUUACCUUUCGUAUCUAUUGAUCCUUUCAAUUGAUUGCCACUUAUGCUCAAAUAUUUCAAAUUUGAAAGCUUGUUAAGGGAUGCAAAUACACUGCUAUUGAAGAGAUUUCGAUCUAAAUUAAGCUCUUCUAAGUGGGUCAACUUGAAUUUUCUCCCACCAUCUACAAAAGAUUUACAUAAUUUCAUCACUAAAAAAGAUUAAUUAUAUGUAAGAACUUAGCUAAGUCAUCAAAUAUAAAUGCAUACCUUUGAAGGAUUGAAAGCUUUCAAUUUGAUUCUCUCUUAAAUCAAGUUUCUUCAAGUUUGUCAAAUUAUUCAAUCCUAUAUGUGUCCAAGUUCAAUUCAAAUAAGCAUUUUGUUAGUAAUUUUAAAAUCUAAUAAAAAACUGAAAAAGUAAGCCUAAAGUUUUAAAUGAAGAUUAAAAAUCCCUAAAUGGGGUGCUGAUGUGCUUGACAAAGGGAUUUGCAAAAGUUGGUGGCCAUUAAACAUGUCUUGGUAAAUUUGUGAUGCGGUGUGUUUGUGAACAAUAAAGUCUCAUUGUUGAGUCGAAUUCUGUUACUAAAAUCAAAUUGAUUUUAAAGUUAAAAAGAAACAGGUAAAAUCAGUCUACCUUGAAUAUGAAACAGCCUUCCUUCCAACUGAUUAUUGCUCAAACUUAAAGUCUUCAAGGAUGAAAGAUUUCUCAUAUGGGAAAAAACGUUAUUCUUCAAAAAAUUCCCAGUUAAAAUAAGAGUUUCCAAUUUGGUGAGUCUUGAAAGCCAUUGGAAACCUGAUAUAUAUUAAAUUACUUGUUAAUUGUUUUUGCUUUCUCAGCUAUAUGGAAAUUUUACUAAAGCAAAAGCAGAGUUACAUUACAGGGGAUAAAAAGAAUUGAAAACCACUGUCAAACGCCACAAUACAAAUAAAAACUAACACCGGGACAUACUUAAAUUACCUCUUGAAUGACUUGAUCCUUCAAUUCGAUUGUAUGAUAGAUAUAAAUAUCGAAGAGAUGAAAGCUCACUCAGAGAUAGCAGAAUGCUAUCAUUCAAGUAAUUGUAACUUAAGUCAAGCAUCUCCAAAUUAUUCAAUGUGGAUGAUAGCUUUCCAAAACCUGCAAGAGUGUUCUUUUAAAUAUAAACAAUGGGUUAGUGGUUUUUCUUCAAUAAAACAAAAUAAAUAAUAAGUAAUUGUAAAAUAACAGUGAGUACUUAUGUUGGAAACUUGUACGUAGUAGAAUAAUAAUAUAUGAAAUUAAGAGUAAAUUAAACGCACGACCUUCAUUUUCAACACUACCAGCUAUGGCAUUUCCUGAUAAAUCAAGACUCUUCAAUUCCACAAAGGGAAGAAACAAAGAGGCACUGAGAUAUCGAUCUUUUAAUUUUUCUCCCAGAAACCAUCCUUCAGAAUGAAGGGAGAGUCCUAUGAGUCGCUUAGUGGUGGUGUUGCACUCAACACCUUUCCAUUCACAACAAUCUAAAUUCUUCACUUCAUCCCAACUGCUCAGAUCAUUAUAAUGAUUAUUGAAGAAAGGUUUGAGAUGCAAGAGAGCAAUUCUUUCCUGCUCCAAACAAGCAUUAGUAGUGCACCACCUGCAUCCUUCUAACAGCAGCAACGCACUCAUCACCGCCAUCCUCAUAAACCACACCCAUUUGGACUCCAUCAUCUCUCUCUUUUCACUUCUCUGUCAACUCUAUGCUACUUUUAACUUCUAUAUGAAUAUAAUUUGAAGAAGCCUUGAUCAAAACUUCCUUAUUUAUAUACCAGCAGGGCCUAUGACCUCCCCACUAAUUCUCAGUCAUACAAAAUAAUAUAUAAUAAAUUGCAUUCCCUUUGCUUGAUCAAUUCUUGACUUUGGGUCAACUCUUAGCUUAAAUACAUGGCUAAAUUUAUUUUAGGUUAUACAAAAUAAAUGGAGCAAUGUGAGGAGAUAAGUUCCAAGUUCAAUCAAUUAAAAAAAAAAAGAAAAGAAAAGUGUAAGGGAACAUAAAAUCAUGUAGUUGGGGUUAUAAAAUUCAUGUGGCUUUCUUGUGAAUUUCAUUUAUGCCUUUCUUACACUUAUACAAAGUUAGUCUUGACUUCGCUUUAUUAAUGGAAAUUUUAGGUCUUCAUUUUUUUUUUAUUCAUAGACAUAAUAUUUUUUUAUUAUUUAUGUUUGUUUUAUGACCUAUGUUUGAGGUUUAUGGAUUUUCGCUUUCAACAAUGUCAUCUCAACCGUUCAAACAUACACUUGCAGGUAAAAUAAUACUUUUUAAAAUCACAAAUAUUUAUAUUUCUAUGCAUAAAUUACAAUAUAUAAAAUAUAAAUGCUUUCUUGCUUAAGAUACUAAUAAAGUAAUUAACAAAGUAAUUAUUAUACCUAUAAUUAUUCAAAAUGCCACUUGUUAUCUAAUAAAGUAGGGUGCAAAUGAGACAUCCGUACCCGCAAGCUAUUCGAAUUCGACUCAAAAAAUUUUAAACUUGAUUCAGUAAUUAUUGAGCCGAGGCUGAGCAACUCGAGCUAUAGGUCGGUCCGAAUUCUAGCUUAGUAAUACUUGACUCGAAUAGUUCAAGAACCUUAUCGAACUUUUCAUAUUUUUAUAUUCUUAAAUUAUAUUAUUGCCCUUAAUAUAUAUUAUUAACCCUAAGUUUAAUUAUUGAGGCGAGCUCGAGCUCGAGUACAAAAUUGAUAAACGAAUUUAAUUUUGAGCUUAAAAAUAUAUGUUCAAUCAAGAUUGAAGUGAGUAUCAAGCUUUAAAUUUCAAAUCAAACUUAAACUUAAUAGUAUUUGAGCUCAAAUCAAUUCAAUUACACCCUACAAUAAAAUAUACCAACAAAACCUACAUUCCAUAUUUGCUUAAAAACUUUGCUAUAAAUUUUAUAUAUGUGUGUGUUUAACGUGACUUCUUUGUGAGUUCCAUAUAUGUCCAACUUGAUGACUAUGAAAGUUCCUAUGGUGUAAAAAGUUUUAGUUAUGUGGAAAAAUAAGCUUUUUUAUUCACACGUUUAAUAUGCUUACUUGUGACGGUCAUUUCGGGCUUGACAUCAAUUUUCAAAAAGUUGUAAUUGGUGGAAAACUUAGGUCUUUUCACUCGCUUUUAUGAUUCUUUUUACAUGAUAUUACAAUAUAAAAUAGUGAAAUUAAAAUUAAUUGAAAUACUGACAAAUUUGAACCCAUGUAAGUCUAGGCAUAAAUUUCACUACUGAUCUAAUUUCUUGAUAUUUAAUUAAUUAACAUAUAUACUUUCAAUUAUAAGAAUUGAAACAUAACUUUCAAGUCAAUUGGAUUAUGCCCCUCUUACACUUCAAAAGAAGUAGAUUUUGAACUCAACAUGAACCUGUGAGAUUUCAUACCUAAAAUAUAGGUAUAAGGUUUCAAUUCAUGGAAAUGUUGGAAGUCUUGGAAAUUUCUUAGUCUCCUUUCUUUGGAUGUUUUUGAACAAAAAUGUUUUAAGUCUUUUUCGAUGCUAAACUUCUGAUUGGUCGUCGGUUCACUGACCCUUUGGUUCAAAGCAAUAUGAAGCAUUGGCCAUUCAAGGCCAUUGCUGGUCCUGGUGAUAAGCCAAGGAUUGUACUACUACAGAUUUGAAUAUUUGUACACAUUAGAUCGGCUCUUUGUAAAUUUAAAUCUUCUAAUUCGGAUAAUAUUCGAAUUUAAAUAUUUUAAUUACUAUCCGCAAUAGAUUAAAAACAAAUCAAUCCUUGGAUAUCCACAUACAGAUUAUGCAAUACAGAUUGACCACCUUAUAUCUAUGUAUGCUACUACAAAACUUGCACCAUUAAAAUCUCAAGCUGGUAAUUGGAGCUUCAUAUUGUUCUCCCAGCUGCAGGCAUAAUAAUCAAAUAAGUUGCAAUCAUUAACAUAGGUAUGAAGUGCUUUCCAGAGUGUGAGAAAGGGGGGUUACCUCUGGAAGUAAUAGUAGUAGAAAUCAGCAUAAAGCAAUGUCUGGACAAGACCGCAAAUCCAAGCUGAAAGGCAGCAAUCAUGUAAACAAGGUGUUAGAAAUAACACAUAUUGCAUAGAAUAUAACAACUGUGUUUGCGAAAAGCUUUCAUCUCUACUUAAUUGUCCAAACCGAUCCAUAUGAACUUGAUGCAUGUGAAACCUGCAUCUAAAAUUAAUUGUUAAAAAUCUCCAUUAUAUAGGGAAAAAAAGCAUCACAGAAGCUACAGUAAUUCCAAUUUAGCAUUAAUAAUGAAUAGCCACGUUUAGAAGAUGGCCUUUGCACAAAAAAAGUAAAGCAAUGAGGAGACCUUUCAGCAAUUGGUGACUGUAACCACAAUGUAAUCCCGCAGAGCAAAUAAGCAAAAAGAAAAGGAAUCUAUUGGGCAUUAGGAAAUUUAUCAGAUCACUCCAUAAAAUUUUGGACACGAUUAUAUUUCACAUGGGAAAAAAAUAACCUAAGAUACUACAAGUUCUAUGGUGGAGUUUUGUUGAAGUUGGCCUGCAUGCAACACAUGUAGCACAUGAAGCAGCCAAAAAAAGCAGAACAAGCUGCUCGAGCAAUGUAUGUUGCAGUUGAAGCCAAUGUUGCUGAUUUAGUUACUUCAAAUUGAUGUUUUGUAACUUAGUUUUAAUAGAACUAGGUUGGUAAUGUACCUUUGUUGACAUUUGAGCUGAUAAAUCAGCUUUACCAAGUGUGCAAGUAUAGGCUAUCAAGUUUCAAUGUAAUUAGUGGAGUUAAGUAAGAGUUUAGGUGAAAUUUGCUUAUUUUAAUCAGCUUAUAUCUGGUAUAUAUAUUGGCAUUAUGCCAUUCUUGAAGGUUAAUGAGAAAUACACAACUUCUUAUUCAUUUUUCUGGUUCAUCGCUCAAGCAUUUUUUUUCUUUUCUAAAGUCUUUAGUCCGAUUCUGCUUUGUUUGCUCAGUAAGACAUUGAGCCUUCAAGCUCAAGUCUCUAUUAAACUCAUUCAAACUAAUUUUCUAAGUUCCAACAAUUGGUAUCAGAGUAGUAUUCUUAGUGACCUGUCAUAUUUUUCAACCAUUAAAGCCAUGUUUUCAUCCGGAUUCUCUCCAGCAGCACCACCAGUCUUCAAUGGUGAAGGUUACCACAUAUGGGUGGUCAAAAUGAAGACCUACCUGCAAGCAUUCGAUUUGUGGGAGGUGGUCAACUCAGAUGUUGAACCAGUACCUCUGAGAGUCAAUCCAACAGUGGCUUAGAUCAUGCAGCAUGCUGAUGAAAGAACCAAAAGGCAUAAAAUUAUGUCUUGCAUUCAAAACAGUGUGUCAGAUGUGAUAUUCAUAAGGAUUAUGGCUUGUGAACCACCAAAGCAGGUUUGGGACAAGCUGAAGGAGGAGUUCCUAGGGAUUGAAAAAACAAGGCAGCAACAGCUACUGAAUUUGAGAAGAGAUUUUGAAAACUUGAAAAUGAAGGAGGAAGAAACUAUCAAGCAGUACUUAGACAGAAUCAUGGUUGUGGUAAACAGCAUAAGACUACUUGAAGAACAGUUCAGUGAAGUAAGAAUUAUGGAAAAAGUGAUCUCAACCUUACCUGAGAGGUAUGAGGCAAAGAUAUCAUCCCUUGAAGACUCGAGGGACCUGACCAGCAUCUCAUUGACAGAGCUGAUUAAUGCUAUUUAUACUCAAGAGCAAAGGAGAGCUAGUAGACUGGAAGAGCACCAAGAAGGUGCCUUCCAAGCCAAAACCAGACCAGCCUCAAGUUCCUUUGCCUACAAAGGCAAGAAAUCCUGGAAAGACAAGCCUAAGUCAAAUGGUGCAAGAAGAAGAGAUCAACCUUGCAGACAUUGCAAAAGGCCUGGUCAUUUAGAGGCAAAUUGUUUGUAACACCCCCUAGCCGUAUCCAUUGCCGAAAUAGGGUACGAGGCAUUACCAGAGUUUACUGAACAUUUUUAGAUAAUUCUGAGUCAUUUAUUAUUAAUAUUUUGAAAAUGAUCAUAACGUCUCUCUAUUGGGCCUACGAAGUCCCAAAAAUACAUUAGAAACCAACCGAAAUUAAAUCUGGAUCAUCAAAGAAAAAAUUUCACAAAAUCUUAAAUUUUAUUUUCAUCUAAGUACUUACUAUUUCAAUGCUCCUUAUAAUUAAUCAUGUUACCAUUCAAUCAAUAGCUUGACACUUGACUAAGCGUCAAACAACAUCAUUAUUAGUAUACUUGCACAUAUUUCAUCUAAAUUCAACAUUGAUAUACUUAUUUUCUCGACAUAUCGCACUUGAGUUUAAUAAUAGUCUCAACUUUCGUAAUUUCCUUGUAUCAAUAUAUCAAAGAUAAUCAUAUAUGUACAUGUCAUGAAACAUACCAUUCUCUUACCGUUUCUUCAUAAACAUAUAUCAUUCAUUUCAUUAUAUCAAUAUUCAUGCUCCAUCAUUUCCAUAUAUUUUAUGUAUAUUUAUUCCGAUAAUAUUUAUAUCAAACUUAAGAUAAAUUAUAUUCCAUGUACUUAUACUUAUUUCGUUUAUCUAUCUUCAUAAUUAUUUCAUACAACUAUUUUGUACAUAUAUUUCCAUAUGACCAGUUCUUGUAAACAUUUCACACAACCAUUUCAUGUAACCAUUCGUCAUCUAAUACAUAUUACCUGAAUAUCAAUUGUUUAAUAGAUAUCAUAGCGUCUCCCAUCCACGGUCUUAUUUAUCUUUGACAUGAUGCCAUAGUGUCUUUCAACUAUGGUCUUACUCAUUUUUUGUCAUGUUGCCAUGGUAUCUUUCAACCAUGGUCUUAUUCUUUUCAUGUCACGUUGCCAUGGUAUCUUUCAACCAUGGUCUUACACAUUUCAUAUCAGGUUGCCAUGGUAUCUUUCAACCAUGGUCUUACACAUUUCAUAUCAGGUUGCCAUGGUAUCUUUCAACCAUGGUCUUACACAUUCCCGCGAACCUCACCUUUACAGUGGGAUUACCAGUCCAGGCUAAAUCCCCUGUAAUAUAAACUCAUAGAGUAUUGUCGAGAUUACCAGUCCAGGCUAAAUCCCCUGCAACGAUAAUUACUCUAAUGAGCUUGGAUCUGAAUUACCAGUCCAGGCUAAAUUCAGACCCUAAUUCGGAUUACUCGUCCGGGCUAAAUCCAUUUUCCACAUAUUCUUCGGGAGGGCUAUAUCAGGAUAGGAUCAUCCGUCCGGGCUAGAUCCUUUUCACCGUCAAUUCCUUCUCAGAGAUCCAUCAAAAUUUCCUUUCAUUCAACUGGGAUUUCUUCCUCUUUUAUCAAAUAUAUCAAUGUUUCAUCAAUUUUCAUACAAUGAACAUUCAAAUCAUAUUCACAUUAAUAAUAUACAUUUCAAGCAUUUAAGUUACACGAACUUACCUCAUUGCUUGUUUGUGUUUAUAAUUUCAUUAAUCCGAUAUCUUUUCUUUUCCACGAUCAAGUCUCGUAUUUGAGUCGUUUGAAUCUUUAUAAAUAAAUUUGAUCAUCAUUUUCAUUCAUUUCAUAUUCUAAUGCAUUUAAUUAAUGCUCUAGGAAAAGUUACCAUUUUGCCCCUAAACUUUUAAUUAAUGACGAUUUCAUCCUUAGGGGCAGGAAAAUAAAAUUCUUGCAAUUUAAUACUUAUUUCCAGCUAUUAUUCUUAUACAUAUUGAAAACAAUCCAUGAAUUCUAUAAAAUAUCAGAAUUUUUCCAUAAUUUCAACACUUUUCAAUUUAAUCCCUAAAACAUGUUUUCCCCCCAUCUUGAACUAAAUUAAUAAUUUCAUUCAAUUUUGUAAUUUAAAUAAUAAAAUUAAUCCAUUUCAUGCAAUUUGGUCAUUUUUGACAUUUUUACAAAAUUGCCCAUAAAGUUUUACUUUUAUUCAAUUUAGUCCCUGAGCCUAAAACAUGCAAAUUAGUCAUGCUAGAUGAAUAUUCAAACAUAUUUUCCUCCUCCUCCUCUCCAUUCCACAUCCUUAGUGUAUAAAACACACUUGUAAGUAACAUUAUCUAUAAUUUUUAUUAUUUACUUUUAUGAAUAUUCAAGCUGUCCAUCUGUGUCAUAGUGACUAAAUUAUUUAUAUCUGGAGCUAUAGAAUUCCAAUUUAAGAUAAAAUAAUUUUCCCUAAAACUAGACUCAUAUAUAUUCUUACCAUAAAAUUUUUAGAAUUUUUGGUUUAGGAAAUAAGUAUAUUUUAUUCUUUAAAGUUACCCUUGUUCUGCUGUCUGACAGUUUUGACCCUUCUUCACUAAUAAUUAAUUAUCUCCUCGUAUAGAAUUCGAAUGAUGUUUCUGUUUAUUUCUAUUUAAAAUAGACUCAUUACGAAUUCUAAACAUAUAAAUUUAAGCUCAUAAUUAUUUUUAUUCAAGUUUUUAUGAUUUUCCAAAGUCAGAAUAGGGGAACCCGAAAUCAUUCUAACCUUAUCUCACAAAAUUCAUUAUAUCUCAAGAUUUACAAAUCCAUUGCUUACAUUGUUUCUUCUAUGAAAAACUAGACUCAAUAAUCUUUAAUUUUUUUUGUUUUUAUUCUUCUAAUUCGAUUUCUGUAAUUUAUGGUGAUUUUUCAAAAUUAGACUACUGCUACUGUCUAAAACUAUUUUAGUGUAAGAUAUUAAUUACCAUGUUUAUAACACCCUUAUUUUCUUUUUCUACACUAUUUCUCAUCACUUUCUCUUAUUUUCUCUUCACUAACAUAUCAAGAACAUAGGACCUUAUGUAAGAAAACUAUACUAUAACAUUAUUUCCAUGCUUUCUCAAUAAUAACAACUUAAAAAUAUAUUAAAAUCUUGAUGUACUUACCUUGUUUUAUUGAUUCCAAUCUUUAAUUUGAUUUUCUCUCUCCUCCAGCUUCUAUUCCUUGAAUUCAAUUUGACAUUCUAAAUCCCCAUAAUCUUCUUAACAUUUUUCUCUCUUGGUAGCUAUGGAAAUUCUUUUGAUUUCUAGGUGAAAAUAGUGAAUUUUUGGUAGAAGGAUCAAAUUGUAAAGAAAAGAAAACUUUCUUUCUUUUUUUCUCUUCUAACGUUUGCAUGCAUGGAAAGAUGAUGAGAAUUCUUCAUCAUUCCUUCCUUAUAUACUAAACAAAUAAUAAUAAAACAAUAAUAAAUAUCUCAUUAAAAUAUUAAUAAAAUAAUAUUUAUCUAAUUAAUUAAUUUAAAAUAUCAUCAACAUAAUCAUUACAUUCUAGAAUUCUCUCUCUUACUUAAUUGACCAUUUUGCCCUUCAUGAUCUUUUAGAAUUCCAUCCUUGAGUUAUCACUUAAUUUGGUAAAAUUGUCAUUUAGUCCCUAAUAAUUUUUCACCUAUUCAGUUUGGUCCUAAUUCAUCCAUUUUCCUUAGUUUCUAGAUCAUUCUACCCUUAAAAUAUUUGCACUAUUGGUCCUUCAACUUUUUCAUAUUUACACUUUAACCCCUCAAAAAUUGAGUAUUUACUCUUGUGCAACAAGACUUUUCUCAUCUUUACAAUUUAGUCAUUUCUUGAAUUAAUAUAUCAUAAUAUACUUCCCAAGGUUGACAUAACUCAAAAUUUUCUUUUUUUGCUACUUUAUUUUCUUAUUUUACUAUAUCGAGGAUAAUACUUACUGUAAAAAUUUUCGGGGUAUUACAUUGUUGGUUCAGGCUAGAUUUGUAAUGCCAAGUCUACAAAAAGAUGGGCCGUGUUGAGAAGGUUUGCAAAAACAAGGGCAAACCAAGACAAAAUCAACCCCAGCAGCCAAGUGUUGAGGCUCGAAUAGCAGAAGAAGGCAGUGAUCAUGAAGAGCAAGUUUUUAUAAUCUUUUGCUCAACUGUCAAAGAAAAAGUCACAAGUGGAUGGCUGAUAGAUAGUGGUUCCACAAACCACAUGAUCCCUGAUGCUGCCAUCUUCAAGUCAAUUGAUAGAAGCUUCAAAACAAAGGUGAAGGUUGGAAAUGUUUCACUUCAUCAAAGCAGAAGGCAAGGUAGAUGUGCUGAUAAACACUCCCAUAGGAAAGCUUGUUUCAAAUGUCCUAUUGGUGCCUGAAAUUGAUAGAAACCUACUCAAUAUAGCUCAAUUGCUAGAAAAGGGCUACUCAGUGGUGUUCAAAGGUAAGGAAUGCCAGACUACUGAUCCAAGUGGAUCCAAACUCAUGUCAGUGACCAUAGCUGAAAAAAGCUUUAUUGUUGACUAGAACAAAGACUUAAAUAGUGUCUACACAGCUAUUUCAGAUAAAUCCAAGCUAUCGCACAAAAGGCUUAGCCAUGCUAACUACAGAUCAAUGGCUUAGCUAACCAAAGAGGACCUGGUUGAAAACUUUACUGAUUCAGUUGAGAAAAAGGAGGCUUGUGAAGUAUGUCAGCUAGGAAACCAAAUCAGAAGUAUGUCAGCUAGGAAAGCAAGUCAGACUUCCAUUCCUUUCAAACAAAGCCUGGAGAGCUUCUGAAAGACUGCAACUUGUGCACACCGAUAUGUGUGGUUCCAUGAAAACUCAGUCUCUAAAUGGCAGCAGGUAUUUCAUCUUAUUCAUUUAUGAUUACUAAAGGCAUUGCUGGAUUUACUUCUUGAUGCAUAAGUCUGAGGUAGCCUCAAUGUUUUGAAAAUUCAAUGCUACAACAGAAAUAGAAUCAAGAUGCAAGCUUAAGACUCUGAGGUCUGAUAAUGGAACUGAGUACACAUCAGCUCAGUUUCAAUCCUUUUGUGAUGAAGCAGGCAUCAAACACCAACUCACCAACACCUACACACCUCAACAGAAUGGUGUUAGUGAAAGAAAGAACAGAAGUUUCAUGGAUAUGGUCAGAUACCUGUUGUUUAAAAAGAAUUUGCCCAAAACUUUGUGGGCUAAAGCAGUCAACACUGUUGUGUACGUCCAAAACAGGCUCCCAACUAAGGCUUUGGCAUAGAAAACUCCAUUCAAGACCUAUAUUGGUUCAAACUAUCACUGGCUCACCUGAGGGCCUUUGAAUGCAUAUGCUAUGCAUAUAUCCAGUAGUGAAAAGAGAUAAGUUGGCCAAGAAGGCUCAACCUGGCAUCCUGGUAGGCUAUAGCAAUCUAAAGAAAGGUUACAGAAUCUUGGAUCCCUCAUUCAACAAAGUGCUUGUAAGCAAAGAUGUAGUGUUUGAUGAGAAAUCAAGUUGGAAUUGGGAGAAGUAUGAACCAGAGAUAGUCUCUGAAGUUUUGUGACAGAUAAGACUGAACCUGAUCAAAAUGGUCUUGAAAUGGACAUUGAUGAUGAACCAGUCAAGGGCACUAGACCAUUGGCUGAGAUUUAUGAAAGAUCUCAAGUGGCUACAGUUGAAUCAAACUGUUUUGAAGAGGCUGAAGCUCAACAAGGCUAGAAACAGACAAUGGCUGAUGAAAUUAGUAUGAUUGAGAAGAAUCAGACCUGACAGCUAGUUGAGAGACCAGCAAAUAGGAAGGUCAUUGGGGUGAAAUGGGUGUUACAAGCUAAGCACAAUGCUGAUGGAAGUUUGAAAAAACUAAAAGUAAGGUUGGCUGUAAAAGAAUUUAGCCAAAAAUAUGGCAUAGACUACUUUAAAACCUUUGCAUCAGUGGCUAGACUUGAUACAAUUAGGCUGCUAGUUGCCUUAACUGUACAAAAUCAGUGGAAAAUACAUCAACUCAAUGUAAAAUCAGCAUUCCUCAAUGGUUUCCUUGAAGAAGAGAUUCAUGUUGAACAACCUUAGGGUUUUAAAGUGGCUGUUGAAGAGUCAAGGUGUACAAACUGAAGAAAGUCUUGUAUGGCUUAAAACAGGCACCAAGAGCCUGGUAUAGUAGGAUCAAUGGCUACUUAGCUAGCUUUGGAUUUGAAAGAAGCAUAAGUGAACCUAUCUUAUAUGUGAAGAAGCAAGGUAGUAAAACUCAACUGAUAAUGUCUUUAUAUGUUGAUGACCUGCUAGUGACAGGAGGAGAUCAAGCAAUGCUGACAGACUUCAAAUGCAAAAUGCAACAAGUGUUUAAGAUGUCUGAUUUAGGAAAAAAUGUCUUACUUCCUUAGUAUGGAAGUGACUCAAACACAACAUGGAAUCUUCCUAAGUCAGAAGGCUUUUACUUCUAAAAUUCUGAGCAAAUUCUCCAUGCAAAAUUGCAAGGCAACAAGUACACCAGUUGCCAUUGGAGAGAAACUAUCGAGCCAAGGUGACUUUGAGCAAGUUAGUGAAUCUAUCUAUAGGAGCUUGAUAGGUUGUUUGCUAUAUCUGACUGCCACUAGACCAGACAUUAUGUUUGUUGUGAGUUUACUUUCAAGAUUCAUGCAUUGCUGCAAUGAAAAACACCUUCAAACUACCAAAACAGUGCUCAGGUACAUCAAAGGUACACUGAGCUAUAGAAUGUUGUUUAGCAAAGCUGAAAGAGUGAAAUUGGUUGGUUAUGCUGAUAGUGAUUGGGAUGGUUCGAUAGAUUAUAUAAAGAGUAACUCAGGGUAUGUUUUUACUCUUGGUUCAGCCAUGUUCUAUUAGAGUUCAAAGAAGCAAUCUGUUGUUGCUCAAUCGACAGCAGAGGUAGAAUAUUGUCAGCUGCAAGAGCUGUCAACCAAGCUAUUUGGCUAAGGAAAAUCUUGGCUAACUUGAAUCUUCACCAAAGGGAAGCAACAAAGAUUAAAUGUGACAAUCAAUCUGCUGUUGCAAUUGCAAAGAAUCCAAUAUUUCAUGGAAGAACAAAGCACCUCAAGAUUAAAUUUCACUUUGUUAAGGAGAUGGAACAAGCUCAAGAAGUGAAACUGAUUCAUUGCAGUUCUGAGGAUCAGCUUGCUGACAUCUUGACAAGCCUCUUUGUGUGUCAAGGUUCACGGAUUUGAGAGCUAAGCUAGGAGUAUGCAGCAUGCAAGCCAAGGAAGAGUGUUGAAGUUGGCCUACAUGCAGCACAUGUAGCACAUGAAGCAGCCAAAAAAAGCAGAACAAGCUACUUGAUUAAUGUAUGUUGCAGUUGAAGCCAGUGUUGCUGAUUUAGUUGCUUCAAAUUGAUGUUUUGUAACUUAGUUUUAAUAGAACUAGGUUGGUAAUGUACCUUUGUUGACAUUUGAGCUAAUAAAUCAGCUUUACCAAGUGUGCAAGUAUAGGUUAUCAAGUUUCAAUAUAAUUAGUGGAUUUAGGUAAGAGUUUAGGUGAAAUUUGCUUAUUUUGAUCAGCUUAUGUCAGGUAUAUGUAUUGGCAUUAUGCCAUUCUUGAAGGUUAAUGAGAAAUACACAACUUCUUUUUCAUUCUUUUGGUUCAUCACUCAAGCAUUUUUUUUUCUUUUCUAAAGUCUUUAGCCCAAUUCUGUUUUAUUUGCUCAGCAAGGCAUUGAGCCUUCAGGCUCAAGUCUCUGUUAAACUCCUUCAAACUGAUUUUCUAAGUUCCAACAAGUUUUCUAGUUCAUCGAAAACAAAUUAUAAUAUUUUGAAUUUUUGAAGAUUAUUUGGUAGUGUCGAAACCAUUUUUAAAGGGGUUUGAAAAACAGGGUUUGACUUUUUGAAAAACGAAAAUGGGAGUCGCCACUAACCUUUUUAGGUGUGAUUGGAUCACCUUUAUAAAACAUUUUGGUCUACGAAAUUCAAGAAAAUAGGUUCGGGAGUCGGUUACGCACAAGGAAGGAUUAGCACCCUCGUAACGCCCAAAAUUGGUACCGAAUUGAUUAUUUAUUGUCCUAAUGUCAAAAAUUUGAAAAGAUUUUAAAAUUUGAACAAUUUAAAGUUGAAACUUGAGAUUCUUUUGUUCCGAAAGUAUACAAACAUCACAUCCAGCAUGUUAGGACACGAUGUUUUAAAUCCUCGUAACUAAAAUUAUCUCAUGAUUUUGAAAACUUAUUAAAAAGGAUAUUUGGUUAUUUAGUCAAACGAAAAAAAAUCGCAACCCAGCAUGUUAGGGCACUAUUUUCCGAAUUUCUAAACACCAAACAUUGCCUUAUUUAAGAAAAAAAUUUCAAUUAAAUGAAAUAUAUUUUUUAAAACAAUGAAUAAUAUAGAAUUUAAUAAAAAAAUAAUUUGAUAUAAUACUAAAAUUAUUAAAAAAUAAAAUAUAAAAGAGAAUUAAAAAAUCAAGGAGAUAGGGAUUAAAUAAAAAAGGUUGAAAUCGAAGAUGAACAAAGAAUAAAUAAGAACAAACCGUAGAAAAUAAGAACGCAAGAGGGAGAGAAAUUUGAGUGAAUGUUCUCAAGAAUUCUUAUUGCUUCCCAAAACUCAAGUGUGUUACAAUGAAGGGAGAGGCCUCUAUUUAUAGUUGAGCCUCCCCAAAUCCAACGGUACAGAUCAAUUACAUCAACGGUUAAGAUUAAAAGGUAUCUACAAAUUAAAUCUCUAAGAUUACAAAAUCAUAUCUUCUAAGAUUGCAUAUCAUAUCUAAGAUUGUAUCAUAUCUAAGAUUGCAUAUCAUAUCUAAGAUUGCAUAUCAUUGAAGAUUAGAUUUCCAUAUAAGUCAAGAUUGUAGAUGGACCUUAAAUCUUUUCAAGUAAUGGGCCAUUCCAAUCGGGCCAAAUUAUAUUUGUAAUUCUGGACUGAACUUGGACUUCGGUUUUUUUUUGGGUUUAUUAUAUUUUUGUUUUUGGACUUAUUUCUGAGCUCGGGCAAAAUUGAGUGUCUACAGGUAGUUUUUUAGAGGGAUAAAUUUUCAUUUUUUCAAAACUAUUAGAGAUCCAAGGGAUAUUUACAUUAAUUUGGUAUUUGAGUUUUUCAAAAUAUCUGAGUUGUGAAAUUCAAAUUGGAUCGAACUUGAAAAAUCGAGUUAUUGAUAAGAGUUGAUUCGAAAAAAAAAUUAAAUAAUUCAAUUCAUUUAACUCGAAAUUUGAAAAAAUAUCAAUUUUUUUAAUAUGACUUGAGUUUUACUCGCCCCUAAGUUCAUGCGUUCACCGCCAUAUUAUGGCUAGGAGUUGACUCUGCCAUCAGCCAAAAAAAAUAUUUGAAAAUAUUGAUGAACUUAAAAUAUAUAUAUACCCACAUGAAAACAUACCGCCAAGGAUGCCAAAAUAAAAACAAUAUGUUGCAGUACUGGCCACUUUGGUUUUCCAUACUAAAAGGAUAAGUGUAUUUUUCAUAUUAUCCUACUAACUAAUUUGAAUAAAGUAGUUGUGAAGAUGAAUGUGCUAAAUAUUCUAUUAAUUAGUAAUUUGAAAGUAAAUAUUUUGAAGUAAAAAAAUGAAUGUAAUUCAAUAAAACAAUAAAAUUUUGAUAAUAUUUCGACAACCAAUUGCAGAGUGCUCCUAAUAGUUCAUCGUCUACAGAAUGGGGUUUGGAGUCUGGACACUUCUGUUGGAAUUCUCUAGGGCGAACCUUCUUGUUAUAAGCACGCAUCAUUCACUUUUGGUACAUUUGACCAUGGCGACUAGCUUUUAGCCUUUUUUCUUCAAUUAAGUUCAGCUGAUCAUAUCGAGACUGGAUCCAUUCUGUUUCGUCUAAAUUUAGUUCUGACAGCACUCGUAGAAAGGGAAUUUCAACCUCAAUAGGCAGAACCACUUUCAUUCCAUAAACCAAAAAGAAAGGUGUUGCCCUGGUGGAGGUUCUGACUGACGUUCGGUAGGCGUAGAGGGCGAAUGGUAAUUUCUCAUGCCAAUCAUUAUAAGUCUCAGUCAUUUUUCCCACGAUUUUCUUGUUGUUUUUAUUGGCCGCUUCCACCGUGCCAUUUAUUUUUGGGCGAUAUGGUGACGAGUUAUGGUGUUUGAUCUUGAAUUGGCUACAAACAUUCGUUAUUGUGCUGUUGUUCAAGUUCAGUGCAUUGUCUGAUAUGAUCCUCUCAGGCAUCCUAUACCGACAUAUGAUCUCUUUCUUUAAGAACUUUCUGACUGCGAAUUUCAUGAUGUUGGUGUAAGAAGUGGCCUCUACCCACUUAGUGAAGUAAUCGAUGACCACAAAAAUGAAUCGGUGUCCGUUAGACACCUUCGGCGAGAUCGACUCGAUGACAUCCAUGCCCCACAUGGAGAAAGGCCAUGGAGAAUUCACGACAUGAAGAGAUGAAGGAGGUACAUGAAUUUUAUCUCCGUAAUUUGGCAUUUAUGGCACUUUUUGGCAUAGCUGAUACAAUCCCCUUCCAUAGUGGACCAAUAAUAUCUGAAUCUCAUGAUUUGUCUGGCCAUUGUGAAACCAUUAGCGUGUGUUCCACAGACACCCUCAUGGAUCUCUUCCAAGAUUUACUUCGCCCCAACAGCGUCCACACACCUUAGCAGUACCUGAUCCUUCCUUCUUUUAUAUAGGAUCUUUCCAUCUAAGACAUAGUCACUGGCUAGCCUUCUCAAUGUCCUUUUAUCAUUCUCCGUCGCUUGGUCUGGGUAUUCACGAUUCCUUACAUAUCGCAAUAUAUCAUGAUACCAAGGGUUAUUUUCCUUUUCUUCUUCUUCCUCGAUGUUGUAACAAUGGGCCGGAGUCUCAUAGAUAUUCAUCUGGAUAGGCUUCACAUCCUCUUGUUUGUUCACUUUGAUCAUAGAAGCUAAAGUCCCCAAGGCAUCAGCCAUCUGGUUUUCAUUUCGUGGGAGGUAGCAGAAAGUGAUAUCGUCGAACUCCUCAAUUAGUUCCAGAACCAGCCUUCGGUAAUUGAUCAACUUAGGGUCUCUUGUCUCCCAUUCACCUUUGAGCUGAGAUCACUAAUGCAGAGUCCCCAUAUACUUCAAGCACAUUGAUUUUACGUUCAAUGGCCGCACGGAUACCCAUGAUGCACGCUUCAUACUAUGUCAUGUUAUUUGUGAAAUCAAAAUCCAAUUUACUAGUAAAGGGGUAAUGAUUUCCAUUCGGGGAUACCAGAACUGCCCCGAUUCCGUUACCCACAGCAUUUAAGGCUCUGUCAAAAUUCAGUCUCCAAGGAUGAUCUUCUUGAGAGUCUUCUUCAGUGGUUGCAACAUACAUUAGAUCUUCAUUUGAGAAAUCAAAGCUCAAAGGCUCAUAAUCUUCUAGAGCCCUACUGGCUAAAAAAUUUGCUAUUGCACUCCCUUUUAUAGCCUUCUGGUUCACGUAGACUAUGUCAAAUUUAGAAAGUAAAAUUUGCUAAUGAGCCAUUUUCCGUUCAAAGCAUUUGACUCCAUCAUGUACUUCAGAGGGUCUAGUUUUGAGAUGAGCCAAGUCGUGUGGUACAGCAUGUAUUGUCUCAGUCUUCGAGUUGUCCAAAUCAAAGCACAACACAAUUUCUUGAUCGACGAAUAUCUUGCCUCACAUUCAGUGAAUUUCUUAUUGAGAUAGUAUAUCGUUUUUUCUUUUCUUCCUGACUCAUCGUGUUGGCCUAACACACAUCUCUUGGAGUUUUCGAACACUGCCAAAUACAGUAUCGAUGGCCUAUCUAGGCAAGGUGGCAUCAGCACUGGGGCAUUGGACAGGUAAUGUUUGACCUUAUCAAAAGUUUUCUUGCACUCCUCAUCCCAUACACCUGGGUUGUGUUUCCUAAGGAGACGGAAUACCGGGUCAUAUUUGUUGGAGUUCAAAGAAGCAAUUUGUUGUUGCUAAUUGACAGUAGAGGUAGAAUAUGUGUUAGCUGCAGGAGCUGUCAACCAAGCCAUUUGGCUAAGGAAAAUCUUGGCUGACUUGAAUCUUCACCAAAAGGAAGCAAUAGAGAUUCAAUGUGACAAUCAAUCUGCUAUUGCAAUGGCAAAGAAUCCAGUGUUUCAUGGAAGAACAAAGCACUUCAAGAUUAAAUUUCACUUUGUUAAGGAGAUGGAACAAGAUCAAGAAGUGAAAUUGAUUCAUUGCAGUUCUGAGGAUCAGCUUGCUGACAUCUUGACAAAGCCUCUUUGUGUGUCAAGGUUCAUGGAUUUGAGAGCUAAGUUUGGAGUAUGCACAUGCAAGCCAAGGAGGAGUGUUUAAGUUGGCCUACAUGCAGCACAUGUAGCACAUGAAGCACAUGAAGCAGCCAAAAAAAGCAGAACAAGUUGCUCAAUCAGUGUAUGUUGUAGUUUUAGUCACUUCAAAUUGAUGUUUUGUAACUUAGUUUGAAUAGAACUAGGUUGGUAAUGUACCUUUGUUGACAUUUGAGCUGAUAAAUCAACUUUACCAAGUAUGCAAGUAUAGGUUAUCAAGUUUCAAUGUAAUUAGUGGAGUUAGGUAAGAGUUUAAGUGAAAUUAGCUUAUUUUGAUAAUCUUAUGUAUGGUAUAUGUAUUGGCAUUAUGCCAUUCUUGAAGGUUAAUAAGAAAUACACAACUUCUUUUUCAUUCUUCUGGUUCAUCGCUCAAGCAUUUUUUUUUCUUUUUAAAGUAUUUAGCCCAAUUCUACUUUGUUUACUCAGCAAGACAUUGAGCCUUCAAGCUCAAGCCUCUGUUAAACUCCUUCAAACUAAUUUUCUAAGUUCCAACAAGUUUUCUAGUUCAUCGAAUGCAAAUUAUAAUAUUUUGAAUUUUUGAAGAUUAUUUGGUACUUUUUUAGAGGGAUUAAUUUACAUUUUUUUUUCAAAACUAUUAGAGAUCCAAGAGAUAUUUACAUUAAUUUGGUAUUUGAGUUUUUCAAAAUAUCUGAGUUGUGAAAUUCAAAUUGGAUCGAACUUGAAAAAUCGAGUUAUUGAUAAGAGUUGAUUCGAAAAAAAUUAAAUAAUUCAAUUCAUUUAACUCGAAAUUCGAAAAAAAUAUCAAUCUUUUUAAUAUGACUUGAGUUUUACUCGCCCCUAAGUUCACGCGUUCACUGCCAUAUUAUGGCUAGGAGUUGACUCUGCCAUCAGCCAAAAAAAAUAUUUGAAAAUAUUGAUGAACUUAAAAUAUAUAUAUACCCACAUGAAAACAUACCGCCAAGGAUGCCAGAAUAAAAACAAUAUGUUGCAGUACUGGCCACUUUGGUUUUCCAUACUAAAAGGAUAAGUGUAAUUUUCAUAUUAUUCUACUAACUAAUCUGAAUAAAGUAGUUGUGAAGAUGAAUAUGCUAAAUAUUCUAUUAAUUAGUAAUUUGAUAGUAAAUAUUUUGAAGUAACAAAUAUGAAUGUAAUUCAAUGAAACAAGAAAAUUCCGAUUAUUUUUCUCCAACCAAUUGCAGAGUGCUCCUAAUAGUUCAUCGUCUACAGAAUGGGGUCUGGAGUCUGGACACUUCUGUUGGAAUUCAUGGAUUUUACUGAGCUUAAUGUGGGUUGUUAAUUGCCGGUGAUGCUACAGCUAGACCAAACUUAAUUUACCCCUUCGAUGACUUAAUGUGGAUUUUACAUGGGCCUUAUUUAAUGUUCUUUACCAUGUAAAUGAGCCUCAUGGAAAUCUUCAUCCUUAUCCUCAUAAAAAUGUGAAGAGAUUGAAUCUAUUAAAGAAGUUGAAUGCAAGAUGGGUUAAAAGAGAAUGUUUUCUCUCUUCAAAGAUGUGAACAGUGGCUAUUUUCAAGGAGGUCUUUUCUGAUUAACUUGGGAGUGCAUUAAUCAAAUGAUUAGAGGUUAUCUAGGUUACUUUGUAGUUAGGAAACAUAUAAAUAGGCAGUGCAUCGCAUAAUCAAUGGUGUUGGUUUUGUAUUGGGUAGAGAGUUGCAAAUUGUUAUUUUGUCUAAGUAAGAAUAGACAACCUGAUUUUUUCCCCGCCUGAUACUUGCGUACUAAAAUAUCCACUCUUUUUAUUAAUAUAUAUUUAAUGGUCAAACUUGAAUUCUUUUCUUCACAAUCAAAUUUAAUUUAUUACUAUGUGUCUUUAUUAAAUUUUUAAAUAAUUAAUUAAAGACACGUGACAAUAAGUUAAGUUCAUUUGCAAAAAAAAAAAAUCUACAAAUUAUAUUAUUUCAUAAAAUUGGGUAUUUUAAUCAAAUCAAUUCAAUUGUUUUAUUUUUCUCUUAAAAUACUUACCACAAAAAACUAUCAAUUUUGUUUUAAUAUUUUUAUAAUAAAAAAUAGAAACUAUGCAUAUAAUACAUUUAAUAUUAAUCUAUUUAUUAUAUUUCAAAUAUUAUAUUCUUUAAAAUCAUUUUUAUUUUCACACGCCAAAUGAGGUAAUUUUUAAAUUUAUUAGAACAUGCACAUUUCUCAUGCAUUGUAAAAUCAAAUUAAAUUUAUAUACGAAAUAAUUUUUUUUUGCUUGAAUUUGAUUAUAAUAUGUAAAUUGGUACUUAUUUUUUUCACAUGAGUACUCGAAUUUGGCUUUUAUCUCACAUUUUUUUUUUAAAAUUUUUGUAAUCUUGAUAAAAUAAGAUAAUGUGGACGAAUUAGGUUUAGAUACAUGACACACAUGUCAUGUCAUAUACUUGCCAUGUAUAUUAACAAAGGUACAAAAUUGGACUAAAAUAUGUGAUGGAAGUUAAAUUUAGGUAUCAAUGUGAACACAAAAUGUAUAGGUACCAAUUUAAAAAUUGAAGUCAAAUUGAAAUACGAAAAAAUACAUUUACCCUAUUUAUUUUAAUGUAAGACAUAUCGGCUUGCUAUGAUUCACAAAACCAUAUUAAAAUUUCCAUUUAACAUAAUAUUUAUAUUAAUUUAUGAUUGGUGAGAUGAUUCAAUUAUUAAAAAUAAAUAAAGUAGGAGAAAAAAAUAAAAUGAAUUAUUAUAAUAUAUAUAUAUAACACUCAUGGAGUACUGGACUAAAUCAUGAAACAAUAUUAAAUAUAAUUAAAACAUGCUAUAUUACAAAUAAUAAAAUUAUUACGUCUCAAAUACACAAAUAUGUCAAAAUUUACAUACAACGAUUUAUUAACACGUAAAAGUAUUUUAUAUAAAUGUAUAAAACGUACGCAAAAAUGAGGAGCAUUUAUUUUUUUAGUUGAAUUGGUAUAACACAUUAUGUAAAAUACAUUGUGAAUUAAAGCAUAAUACAAACACAAUAUCAAAAGAUAAAUCAUUUUUUAAAUUUGAUGAUUAUGAAUAAGUAUGUAAAAUAUAAUAUGAUACAAAAUAACUUGAGAGGAAAGAGGAAUAAAGAAUAGCAUUGCCUUUGAGGUUUUAAAAUAUUCAAGUUUUAGAUUCAAUUUUCUAGUUUUCUGAGCUUGAUUUUAGAUUAGAUUUCUUUUUUCAGUAUGUACUAGUGAACUUUUGAUGGUCAAUUUAAUUUACUUCAAAGAGCUCUUGCACAUACAUAAUAAUAGAUUAUGAUUAUACUUUAAAUUUCAUAAGAAAAAAAGGGAAAUAGAUAGUUGAAAAAUGAUAAAACCAAAAGAUAAAGUUAUAAACAAUUCAUCUCCAUAAAUAUAACAGCUUUUAUUCAAAAUGUAAAAAUUUGUUGGGGAUUUGGGACACUUUAUCAGGAUGAAGUAUGAACUUCAGUCUGGAACUUAAACAACAAUGUAAUGAAUCCGGAUGAAGAAUGAAGAAAACUUGAAAAAUUCAAGUCAAGAGAUUUGAGCUUGAAAAACAGAAUGAAAUUGAAGGUAAAGAAAAUAAGCAAAGGAAAUGGAGAGGAUAUUGAAUGAAAAAGAUGAUGAUUUUUCAUUAAUUAAACAUUGGCAAAUUGCCAUUACAUAUACCAAACAUGAGAUGAUCAUUACAAGUCAAAAUGCUACCUAAACAUUUACCUAACACCACUUAAAACAUUGAAAAUUGCUAAACUAGCUUGCACAAGUUGCUUUGCUGAAUUUUCAGUCAAUCAACAUCUAAAAAUACAUCAAAAGAUUUACCAACUAAGUUCUAAAAGAACUAAGUUACAAACUAUGAACUUAAAGUAACCAAAAUGAGUUGAAAUCGGACAGCAUCAGUAAGUUUCUCCUUCUGUCUAUUGGUCUCAAGCUGCAUGGCCACCUUUUCUGGUUCAAGAUGCAUACUUCACCCGGUAAUAAUACAACAGUUUGAUCUCUUUUCUUUACAGCUGGAUGCAUGGCUCGGGCUGCUUCAUGACACUUUGGCUUCUUCAGAUGCUGCAUGCAAGCCAACUUCAACAAAAUUAACAAAAUAUUCAUACUAUCCAACUUAACACACUAAAACAAUUAGGAGAGGAAAUGAAAUCACAACUUUUUUUUCUAAAACAAUACCUGCCAAAUUUAUUGAAAUCUUCAUUAUAGCUAAACACAUUGCCUGAAAAUGUGAUAAGCAAGAAAAUUGCCCACAUUUGAGUAGCGACAGGUGGUGAUGCAUUUCCCAAUUAGAGAAAACCUCGCUCUUCACCAGUCAGGAUUUAUGUAGAGGACAACAAAAAUUGUCAACGCCACAGCUACAUAAGAAACCAAAAAGCUCACACAAAAAUCAUAAGUAUCUAGAAAACCAUCUUCUCCUUUAUCUUCUGGUAGAGUUGAUAUCGUUGAUGGUGGUUUGGAACAACUUUUAUGCAGUAUAGCUCCACAAAGAAAAGGGUUUCCCUCGUAACUGCUUUCAAUAAAGGUCUCAAAUUGAGCUUUUGGUUCGAGAAUACUACCUGACAAGUUGUUGUAUGCCACGCUAAAAGCCUCCAAAGAGUUCAACUCUACCAACUGAUUGGGGAUUUCACCGCUCAAAUUGUUGUAAGAAAGGUCCAAACUCUCAAUUUGAUGAAGUUUUGAGAAUGACGAGGGUAUAACUCCAGUCAGCUUAUUGUGCGACAAGUUUAAAGAAUAGAUAAAUCAAUCCUGGUCAUAUAUGCAAGGAUGAUGCCUCCGUAUGAAUAGAACCCACUCUUUGUUGUGAACUCUAUUGCUUCUUCUAAGUAGCUGGAAGGAUAGGAAUAAACGCCGUGAAGUCGACCCAAUUUGUUCAUUAAUCCAUCCUCUGUUAAACUUGGCCUAUAUUCCCCACGAAAUAGAAUCUUAUUUCCAUCCAUUGAAAGGGUUAAAUUUCCCAAACAAGAAGGUAUAAUACCAGAAAACAUAUUUUGAGAAAGAUCUAUAAUGCUUAAAUAAUGAAACUUGCAUAACUGAACUGGAACUUCGCCAUGAAAAUGAUUAUCUUUCAAGAGAAGAACACUCAAUGUACAAAGUGUGCCAAUCCAUUUUGGAAUACUACCAGUCAAGUUGUUUCCUCUAAGAUCUAAUGUAACCAGUGAAGAGAUAUUAUAAAAAGCAAUUGGUAGAGGGCCACUUAGUCUAUUCCCUUGCAGGUGGACAUGCUUUAUGUUCAGGGUAUUAAAGCAGGACGGUAUAGAGCCAAAUAAAUUGUUUUCGGAGAGAUCCAAAAAUUCCAAGUCAUUUAAGUUGCAAAAUUCCAUUGGAAUAGAACCCUUCAAACCAUUUUGGGACAAAGCUAAUCCCUUCAAAAAGGACACAUUCCCCAUCCAUCUUGGGAGGUUUCUAUAAAACUUGUUAUUUCCGAGAUUGAUUUCCCUUAGUGAAGUUGGAAACUCAGAAAUAGUGACAUCAACAUUUGCCAUCUCUCCAGAAAAAUUAUUUCCAUCCAAAUAUAAAUUUGACAACCCAUUUGCAUUGAGAAUCACAGGAAGCACAUGUCCACCGAGAUUGUUGUUUGAUAGUCUCAAAAUGGUCAAUGAGCUUUUUGUGAUUAGCUCUUCAGGUACUCUUCCGGACAAUUGAUUGUUUGAUAAAUCUAAAAUCGAUAAAUCCUUCAUGCCACUCAAACAAGGAGGGAUAUCACCUUCGAAGGCAUUCUUGGAUAACAAUAAUUGCCUCAAUUGUGGAAAAGGUGAACAGACAUUGGUUGGAAUCUGACCUUGCAAUUUGUUUUGGGAUAUGUCAAUUAAAGACACAUUAGAAUUAGGAGCUGACGGUGAUGAGAGAGGACCAGUAAAAGAAUUGCCCAUCAAGAUGAGAUCUUCUAACUUUGUGUUGUUUUCUAACAAGCAAGUUGGUGUUGUUCCAAUAGGGUCGGAAGCGUGUAAAUUAUUGUACUAAAAAAUCACACAAAGUUCAAUUCCCAGGGAAGAGAGGUGGAUCACAUGGAUCUCUUAAAUACCAAGUCUUUCCUUAGACAGAAUAUCCCUUCUAUAGUAAUUUAAUAGCACAAUUAAAUACUACUAUUAUACCCUCAAAUAUUGAAAGAAAAAUAGGACAAGAAAGAACACAAGAGUUUUAACGAGGUUCGGUAAAUUAUACCUACGUCCUCGGGCACUAACACCAGAUGAUAACUUUACUAUCUCCAAAGUAUUACAAACAAAUAGAAUUCCUUAAGAAUUCUCAAAUGGGAGAAGAGAGAAAACUAAGAGAGAAAGAUUGGUUGGGAUGGUUGAAAUGAGAAAUGGUUAGGCCUAUUUAUAGUUGAGGUUCAGGGACUAACUUGCAAAUGGCCUAAAAAAUUAGGGACCAAAAUUGCAAUUAUCCCAUUCAACUUUAAACAGCUUGCCUAUCACUUUUUUUCUUUCGGUGCCACUUGCACCUUCCAUUUUUGACUUUUCAACAAUCUCCAUCUUGAAGAUUUGAUUAGGAUAAUCACAUCUUCACACACUUCCUUCAACUCCCCAAAUUCGAUAAAGCUAUCUUUUGUAGUGCCUCCAAAUGCGCUCUCGAGCGCCAUACACCUAAAGGUGCUCAAAUUCUCAGGAUGUUAAUCAAGUUCAAACAAUGAUUAAACUUGAUUGUUGUUACCACCUUGGUCAUCAUAUCUGCGGGAUUAUCUGCUGUCGGAAUCUUCUGAAGUAGAAUUUUUCCUUUUUCAAAGACUUCCCGCACAAAGUGAUAUCUUACGUCGAUAUGCUUGGUUCUUGAAUGAUAGACUUGAUUUUUCGCUAAAUGAAUAGCACUCUGACUGUCACAAUAUAAACUUAUGUGACUUUGAACAACUCCUAAGUCUUUCAACAAUCCAUUAAGCCAAAUAGCCUCCUUAACAGCUUCAGUAACUGCCAUAUAUUCUGCCUCUGUAGUAGACACAGCUACUGUAGACUGUAAGGUAGACUUCCAACUCACUGGGGCUUUCGCAAGAGUAAACAGAUACCCCGUAGUUGAAUGACGUUUAUCUAAAUCACCAGCAAAUUCGGAAUCAACAUAUCCAACUACAAACUGACCAAGUGCUUCAUCCUGUUCAAAAAUUAAACCAACAUCUACGGUUUUUCGAAGAUACCGUAGAAUCCAUUUCACAGCUUGCCAAUGUCCUUUUCCAGGAUCAUGCAUAUACCUGCUCACAACUCCAACAGCUUGUGAAAUGUCAGGCCUCGUACACACCAUCGCAUACAUCAAACUCCCAACUGCAUUAGCAUAUGGGACUUUCGCCAUAUAUUCUCUUUCUUCUUCAGUUUUCGGAGAUAAUUGAGCACUAAGUUUCAAAUGAGAAGCAAGUGGGGUACUUACAUGUUUUGUGUUUUCAUUUACACCAAAACAUUGUAAUACCUUUUUCAGAUAUUGCUUCUGAUUUAAACAGAGCUUGCCUCUCGGUCUAUCUCUACUUAUCUCCAUACCGAGAAUCUUCUUGGCCUUACCUAGAUCUUUCAUCUCGAACUCUUGAUUCAACUGAGCCUUCAGCUUAUCUAUCUCAUUUUGGCUCUUCGAAGCGAUUAACAUAUCAUCAACAUACAAGAGUAGAUAAAUGAAAGAUCCGUCAUGCAGCUUCUGCAAAUAUACACAAUUGUCAUAUUUGCUUCUUGUGUACUUCUGCCUUCUCAUAAAGCUAUCAAAUCGCUUGUACCACUGCCUCAGGGAUUGCUUCAAUCCAUAUAGCGAUUUGUUCAGCUUACAAACCCAAUUUCUACCACCAGCAUCUGUGUAUCCUUCGGGCUGAGUCAUAUAGAUCUCCUCUUCUAACUCACCAUGCAAGAAAGUCGUCUUAACAUCAAGUUGAGCUAGCUCCAAAUUCAACUGUGCUACCAAGGCCAACAAAAUUCUAAUGGAGGAAUGCUUCACAACAAGGGAAAAUACAUCAUUGUAGUCAAUUCCCUCCUUCUAAGCGUAGCCUUUAGCUACCAAUCUUACCUUGUAACGAAUAUCCUUCUUGCUAGGAGAUCCAUCUUUCUUUGCGAAUACCCACUUGCAUCCGAUUGCCCUUUUACCUUUCGGUAAUUGCGCCAACUCCCAAGUAUUGUUCUUCCGGAGAGACUGCAUUUCUUCAUCCAUGGCGCUUUUCCAUUUAUCACUUUCUAAGCUUUGCAUUGCUUCUUGAUAAGUGAUAGGAAUAUCAUCAACAACGGGAAGGGCGUAGGCCACCAUAUCAGUAAAUCGAGCAGGUUUACGAAUUUCUCUCCGUGGCCUUGCAACUGCAACUGGUUCUGGUGUACUUAGUGGUUCUUGGGUCAGAACCUCUUCAACCUCUAAUUCCUCCAUUGUGACUGGAGAAUUAGACUUAUUAACUGGGCAAAUCCCCAUCUGCUCAAACUCCACCUGUUUUGGAGUACACUCCACCUGCUGUGGAGUAUUGCUCGUCUGAAUAUCUUUAUCUGCUACCUUUUUCAAUGUGGCAGAUUCAUCAAAGGUAACAUCUCUGCUACAGAUCAUUUUCUUUGUGCUUAAACACCAAAGACGAAAUCCCUUCACUCCAGAAGUGAUUCCCAUAAAGAGAGCUUUCUUUUCCCUCAGAUCUAACUUUGACUCCUUCACAUGGUAAUAUGCAGUGGUUCCAAACACAUGUAAGGAAUCAUAAUCUGUAGCCGGUUUUCCAGACCAUACCUCCAUAGGAGUUUUUCUUUCUAAUGCAGAUGAUGGCAAACGAUUAAUAAGAUGGCCAGCGUAUGUCACAGCCUCAACCCAAAAUUGCUUGCCCAACCCAGCAUUGGACAACAUACAUCAAACUUUCUCAAGCAAUGUUCGAUUCAUACGCUUUGCCAAUCCAUUCUGAUGUGGUGUAUCCCUAACUGUGAAGUGUCGAACAAUACCAUACUCUUGGCACACAUCGAAGAACGGAUCACUUUUAUAUUCCCCUCCAUUGUCCGUCCUAAGCCGCUUGAUUUUCUUGCCAGUCUGGUUUUCGAUCAUAGUUUUCCGUUUAAGAAAAACUCUAAGCACUUCAUCCUUAGUUCUCAUGGUAUACACCCAAACUCUUCUGGAAAAGUCAUCAACAAAAGUAACAAAGUAGUGUUUUCCUCCCAAUGAAGGUGUCUUGGAAGGCCCCCACACAUCUGAGUGAACAUAUUCCAAAAUACCUUUUGUAUUAUAGAUAGCAGUACCGAAUUUCACUCUCUUUUUCUUUCCCAGAACACAAUGCUCACAAAAUUUUAAUUUGUAAGCCUUUGCACCUUUCAACAAUCCUUGCUUUGCCAGAAUUUGCAAGGAUUUUUCGCUGGCAUGUCCCAACUUCAUAUGCCACAACUACAUUGAGUCCAAUUCUUUGUUACUGGAAGCUGUAGCGACUGCUCCAAUAACUGUACUACCUUGGUAGUAAUACAAGUUAUUUUUCCUGAUGCCCUUCAAUAUCACAAGUGCGCCAGAUGUCACUUUCAAAAUCCCAUCUCUCAUAGUAACAACUGAACCAUUGGAUUCCAAGGCUCCCAAUGAGAUGAGAUUUUUCUUCAAACUGGGCACGUACCGAACAUCAGUCAGAAUUCUGGUUGAUCCAUCUUAAUUCUUUAAUUGGAUUGAACCUAUCCCAACAGUUUUACAGGCAUUGUCAUUGCCCAUAUAAACAACUCCUCCAUUUAGUUCUACUAAAUCAGAGAACCACUCCCGGUUAGGGGCAUAUGAUAGGUACAACCCGAAUCCAAUAUCCACUCAUCUGAAUGGAACGACGAUGAUGAUGUAACCAGUGAUAGUUCAGAGUCACUAGUAUCAUGCUUAGCAACACAAGCAUCUACAGCAGCUUUUCCCUUGUUCUUCAGCUUUGGACAAUUUUUCUUCCAGUGGUCUUUCUCAUGACAAAAAGCACAUUCAUCUUUCCCGAGUCUGGACUUUGACUUUGAUCUCCCCUUUUGAGUUUUCUUCCAAGUGUAUGAACGACCUCGGACUACUAAAGCUUCUGUAUCUCUGAUUGAGUUUUUUUGUUUGUCCUUCUUUCUCUGUUCAUAACUGUAUAAGGCCGCACAGACUUCGCUCAGAGAUAUAUCACUCCUGCCAUGAAGUAGAGUAGUUUCUAGGAACUCAAACUCCUCAGGAAGUGACCCCAACAGCAUCAAAGCCAAAUCUUUAUCUUUGAAUGUCUCAUCCAUAUUCAGCAAAUCAGUGACUAACUGAUUAAAUUUGGUGAUGUGAUCAUUCAUUGUGGUACUUGGGACGUAUGUGAAGCGAAACAGUCUUUUCUUCAAGUGGAGCUUAUUUUGACUAUUUUUCUUCAAAAAAUUUUCUUCAAGUGCCACCCACAACUUAUUUGCAGAAGUCUCCUUUGAAAAAGCAUACCUCUGCUCUCGAGAAAGGCAUGAUCAAAUUGUGCCACAUGCCAACCGAUUGAUCGCCUUCCAAUCUUUCUCCUGUACAUCAUCUGGUUUCUCUUCAUCAAUGGCAAUGUCUAGACCCUGCUGAAAAAGGGCAUCUAGAACCUCACUUUGCCACAUACCAAAAUGGCCUGUGCCAUCAAAGAUCUCCACGGCCAGUCUUGCAUUUGCAAUUGUCGGUCUUGUCCACAUGGACGAUGUUGAAGCUCCUACACCGACCGUUUUCUCCAUAAUCUUUCAAUAUACCUAAGGAAAUCUUUUCUGAUGUGGAAGAUCAGUUUAAACUGCAACCACAGAGCAUACUACGAUUAACCUUCGGCUCUGAUACCACUUGUUGUUCCAAUAGGGUCGGAAGCGUGUAAAUUAUUGUACUAAAAAAUCACACAAAGUUCAAUUCCCAGGGAAGAGAGGUGGAUCACAUGGAUCUCUUAAAUACCAAGUCUUUCCUUAGACAGAAUAUCCCUUCUAUAGUAAUUUAAUAGCACAAUUAAAUACUACUAUUAUACCCUCAAAUAUUGAAAGAAAAAUAGGACAAGAAAGAACACAAGAGUUUUAACGAGGUUCGGUAAAUUAUACCUACGUCCUCGGGCACUAACACCAGAUGAUAACUUUACUAUCUCCAAAGUAUUACAAACAAAUAGAAUUCCUUAAGAAUUCUCAAAUGGGAGAAGAGAGAAAACUAAGAGAGAAAGAUUGGUUGGGAUGGUUGAAAUGAGAAAUGGUUAGGCCUAUUUAUAGUUGAGGUUCAGGGACUAACUUGCAAAUGGCCUAAAAAAUUAGGGACCAAAAUUGCAAUUAUCCCAUUCAACUUUAAACAGCUUGCCUAUCACUUUUUUUCUUUCGGUGCCACUUGCACCUCCCAUUUUUGACUUUUCAACAGUUGGGACUGUGCCGCUGAAAUUGUUUUGAGAAAGAUCAACAUAUGUCAAGUCAUAUUGGUAGUAAAGGAAGGUAGGAAGUUCUAGAUUGAGUUGUUGAGAUGUAAUGCACUUUGGCAAACUGAUGAUUGUCAAUUGAAACUUUGGGACUGAGGUAUAAAAGGAAGUUUCCAUUACCAUCUUGUUUUCACCACUCAAAAGAACUUUGAGGUUUGAAAGGUUUGCAAAUGGUGCGAAUGACAGUGGAAUUUGAAAAUGGUUUCCUGAAAUAUAUAACUCCCGAAGAGAUGUCAAGUUACUGAAACAAUGAGGAAGCCUCCCCUCAAGUGCAUUGUCAC